UAGACGUGACAUGUCACCAUUUCUCCUCAACUGAACCUGGCGGCUAGCAGCCACACAAAACUGCCAUCUCCGUGGCCCUAUAUAGAAUGCAAGGGAUGGAUCUUGUCCAUGCUCAGGCAUAAAAUGACAAGAAAAAGCGGAUUUGGCCUGAUCACGUGUUCUUCCAAAUCAUUUUCAUCUGCCACCAGGACUUUUGGCUUUUGAAAACCUAAAUAUUUGACUCUUUUGUUUCAUAGUUCCAUUGUGUCAGUCUUCUCUUGAGAUGCUUGCAGCCCGCUGCCUGAAUAAAUGAAGGCUUUAGAAAAAAAAAGAAAAAAAGCCAUGUUUGCCAGAGGGUGUUGUGCCAUUCAAACCUGGCACGGUCAUGCUGGAGCUGAGACCAUGGGAGGAGGGAAGAAGAGAGAAUGAGUUUUCCGCCUUCCACACCUGAGGCUGUAUUGCCACACCAUCUGGAGCCAGAAGGGGAGAAUGGGGCAGAAUAAAUAUAAGGUGUAAACGCACGGAGCGUAAACGCAUGAAAUUGGCAAUGACUAAUUCAUCAUCUCACAAAUCUGUCUUUACAAAGAGAAAUAAAAAUCAAGUCAGUUUGAGCUAUAUGGAGGGAGUGCAGCUCUUCCAAGAAGAGCUAAUAAAAGGAGGGAGGGGAACUAGGGACUGUUUGGAAAAUAUGCAAAUUUAUGAAAUUGGAAGAUUCAGAUGACACUUCAGGGUGAUUAGUAUGCUGAUUGGUGUGCUUUGGGGAGCACUAAGGAUGCAUCAUAUUGUUUUCUUGAAAAAAAAUAAUGAAGCAGAAUAAAAGAGCCCUGUGCUUCCUAACUACAGGCCUGAGUCUGCAAUGUCAGCUGUGCCUUUGUGAAUGGUGAGAGGAGCCCUGUGUGAAUGCUGUCUACACCACUGAGCUGUCUUAGACGCAAGACUGACUUAAGAUAUUGUACUCACUUAUUCAUGCAAUAAAGGUUUGAUGACACCUACUCUAUGUCGAGCACCAUGCUGGAUGCUUAGGACACAAAGAAGAACCAGGCAUGUUCCUCGACCUGGAAAAAUUCAGGGUCCAUGAGGGGAGAGAAUGUAUGGUGCCUCCCACAGAAUAAGCACUACAACAUGAGGAUUUUAGCCUAGUGAUGCUGUAACACAGCAGAAUCAGUUGAUGGUGAUGAGGGGAAGGAAUUGGAGAAGCUUCAUAAAGAAGGAUGACAUUUGAGCUGAAUUUGAAGGAUGCAUAGAAUUUUUCCAGAUGACAAAGUAGGCAAAGGAUAUUUGAGGCAGAAAUAACAGCAUAAGCAAAGGCAUGAAGGCAUGAAAGUACUUAAUACACUUUCUGGGAAUGUUAAGAUGACUGGUGAAUAGUUCUUCCUGAGUCUGCCACCUGAGAGUAAUUGCCAGAUUGACUGGCUGGGUAGGAUGCUUGGGCUGUUCAAAUCUCAACAGCAGUGUCCACCAUGGCAUCGGAGUGUGAGAUCCAUCAACAGUCUGAUAAAAUUUUCCAUCUUUCUGG
rnacentral:lncRNA from 1 species